GGGCUUGACAUCCCACGAACCUGCCUGAAAGGGCGGGGUGCCCGCAAGGGAGCGUGGAGACAGGUGGUGCAUGGCUGUCGUCAGCUCGUGUCGUGAGAUGUUGGGUUAAGUCCCGCAACGAGCGCAACCCUCACCCCUAGUUGCCACCGGGUAAUGCCGAGCACUCGAGGGGAACUGCCAGCGUCAAGCUGGAGGAAGGCGGGGAUGACGUCAAGUCAUCAUGCCCCUUACGCCCUGGGCUACACACGUGCUACAAUGGCCAGUACAAAGGGAUGCGAGACCGUAAGGUGGAGCUAAUCCCAAAAAGCUGGUCUAAGUUCAGAUUGCAGUCUGCAACUCGACUGCAUGAAGGAGGAAUCGCUAGUAAUCGCGCAUCAGCACGGCGCGGUGAAUACGUUCCCGGGCCUUGUACACACCGCCCGUCACACCACGAAAGCUGGCUGUACUCGAAGUCGCUGAG
rnacentral:rRNA from 1 species